UACGGUAGGGGGCAAGCGUUGUCCGGAUUUAUUGGGCGUAAAGAGCGUGUAGGCGGCUAGAUAGGUCCGUUGUGAAACUCGAGGCUCAACCUCGAGACGCCGAUGGAAACCAUCUGACUAGAGUCCGGAAGAGGAGAGUGGAAUUCCUGGUGUAGCGGUGAAAUGCGCAGAUAUCAGGAAGAACACCCGUGGCUAAGGCGGCUCUCUAGUACGGUACUGACGCUGAGACGCAAAAGCGUGGGGAGCGAACAGG
rnacentral:rRNA from 1 species